GGGGUCUGAUGGGCAUGGCAGGCGCUCGCUCGCUCCUCUCUCGCUCCCUCGCUCGCUCCCUCACACACGCGCGGAGGGAGGCGAAGCCCGCAGCAGCCACUUCCCCACUUUCCAAACUUCCCAGCGCAACUUUUUCCUCUCCUCCCCUGCCCGUGCCUCCUCCUCCCCCAUCGCUCCCCCUUCCCCUGGCCCGCUCCCCGCCGGCCCUAGCUUCGGUGCGCGGCCGCCAGGGGGCGCCCGGGCCGAGGCCCCGCUCGGCCAAACUCUGUGGGAUCUUCUGUGGACAGGGACUAGGCUAGGGGACGAAUUCUGGGGACCUGGGCCAGCAUCGCCCAAAGCAUGUGAUGCGCAGGUCGCGGAGGGAGUUAACAGCGAAAGAAGCAGGAGUGGGCAGGCACUCCCAGACUGGCUGGGAAGGCAGCACUCAAAGGAAAUCCAGGGAACCUGGCCCCAAAUAACUGACGUUGGCCAUUUCGUAUGGUUCAACCAACUAGGAUCCAGAGCAGCCUCGGUCUCCGGCCAGCAUACGUCUGGCGACAGAUGCAGAGCAGGCCAGAGUGCCCGGAUGGUGUGAGACAACAGCGUGGCUCCGUGUUUCCCACCCACAGAGCUCUGAGACCACAGCGGUGACAAAAGAGAAGUCCUUUGAAGAGUCCCUGCUCCCCCUGGCUCCAAAGCUGCCUGCUGUGAAGGAGUAGAGAGAGACAGAGCACAAGUUGGGGAGGGGCCAAGAGAGAAGGAGACA